UACGUAGGGUGCAAGCGUUGUCCGGAAUUAUUGGGCGUAAAGGGCUCGUAGGCGGUUUGUCGCGUCGGGAGUGAAAACCUACAGCUUAACUGUGGGCUUGCUUUCGAUACGGGCAGACUUGAGGCAUGCAGGGGAGAACGGAAUUCCUGGUGUAGCGGUGAAAUGCGUAGAGAUCAGGAGGAACACCUGUGGUGUAGACAGCUUACUGGACGAUAACUGACGCUGAGGCACGAAAGCGUGGGUAGCAAACAGG
rnacentral:rRNA from 1 species